GUUUCUUUCGAUUUGCAGUGAAGAUUUUCGGCUUGUAGUUGGUUUCCUUCCUCUCCGCUGCCGCUGCUUCUGCCGCUUCCCUCACUGGCGGUGGAAAAAGGUGUUCCUAUAAGAGGCUAUGUAUGACUCGUUCAUGGCACAACACAAGAAGUGAAGACUAUUAAACAGAGGAUCGACCAAUACAUGAUUUUGUAGAAUUAGGAGAUUGACAACCUUUUUUUAUAGACAGUUAUAAGUUUGGCCUUUAUGUUUUUUUUUGAAGCAUACAUUAUUAGUUUAUCAAUUACUAUA